GGAAGGAUCAUUCCUAAUGAAAAGCGUUGGCUUUUUAUCAACCCGUUGAACUGUAUAUGUUUCGAAAGGAUCAUAUCGUAUUCAAUUUUUAACCAAGGAUUAUCAAACUAAUAGACUGAACUUAAAUGUCAUUCAUUUGGCAUGCUUAAAAAGAACAACUAUUGGCAACGGAUACCUCGGUUCUCACAACGAUGAAGAACGCAGCGAAACGCGAUAUUUAAUGCGAAUUGCAGAAUUCAGUGAAUCAUCAAAACUUUGAACGCAUGUUGCGCUUUUGGGAUAUUCCUGGAAGCAUGCCUCUUUCAGUGUCGGUUUUCAAAUCUAAUCUUCUAUGAUUAGGAUAAUGUGUUUCGUUUUUUUUACAAAGCGUCUUGCUCAAUCAUAUAUGGUUUCUGGAUUUAAACUGGAAUACUAGAAUUGAAAGAAGAUAAUUCAACUUGAGUUAUUUAAUGACAAUUCACUAUGUACUUCAAAUUGAGUUCGUUAAAGAAACUGUCAAUGCUGAUGGGAAACUGUUAGCAACUUUUAUAAUCAAUACCUGAGUGAGGUAAGACUACCCGCUGAACUUAAGCAUAUUAAUAAGCGGAGGAAAAGAAACUAAAUAGGAUUCCCCUAGUAACGGCGAGUGAAAAGGGAAAAGCCCAACCUUAAAAUCCGAUAGGUUUCCUGUUGGAAUUGUGGGUUACGGAAACAUUAUCAGUGUGAGUCUCGGUUUAAGUGUGUUGGAAAGCACCGGCAUAGAGGGUGACACCCCCGUAUAGAGCUGAGAACCUCACAUGUACGAUAUGUUUUCCAAGAGUAGGUUUGCUUGAAAGUGCAAACUGAAUCGGGAGGUAAAUUCCUUCUAAGGCUAAAUAUUUGUGAGAGACCGAUAGCGCACAAGUACCGUGAGGGAAAGGUGAAAAGGACUUUGAAAAGAGAGUCAAAAGUACUUGAAAUUGUCAGUAGAUAAGCGAUAGAGACUAGUGUAUGGUUACGCCAUAUCUCUUGUUUGUAAAUGUAGCUUUAUGAGUAUGGGUGGUUUACCAACAUACUUGUGAUGUGAAUUUAUGAAUAAGUCUGUGAGUGUGAUUUGUGUCACUAUUGAUUCGAAUUGUAGGAAAGGUCUAUGACUGGGUAGCAAGGCUUGCCUUGUGAUGAGUUUUAGUUCGUACUACAUUUUUGAUGGAUAGUGUCGAAAUAGUCUUUAUCGACCCGUCUUGAAACACGGACCAAGGAGUCUAACAUAUAGGCGAGUCAAUGGGUGAUAAACCCUACGGCGUAAUGAAAGUGAAGGAGUACUUGUACUCUGAGGUGUGCUACCUGUAUAUGGUUACAACACCGCCCGGCAGAUCCAUUAGUGUUCUGUUCGAGGUAGAGCCUACAUGUUAGGACCCGAAAGAUGGUGAACUAUGCCUGAGCAGGGUGAAGCCAGGGGAAACUCUGGUGGAAGCUCGCAGCGAUACUGACGUGCAAAUCGUUCGUCGGACUUGGGUAUAGGGGCGAAAGACUAAUCGAACCGUCUAGUAGCUGGUUCCCUC
rnacentral:misc_RNA from 1 species